GCGAAAGCGUGGGGAGCAAACAGGAUUAAAUACCCUGGUAGUCCACGCCGUAAACGAUGUCAACUAGCCGUUGGGAGCCUUGAGCUCUUAGUGGCGCAGCUAACGCAUUAAAUUGACCGCCUGGGGAGUACGGCCGCAAGGGUAAAACUCAAAUGAAUUGACGGGGGCCCGCACAAGCGGGGGAGCAUGUGGUUUAAUUCGAAACAACGCGAAAAACCUUACCAGGCCUUGACAUCCAAUGAACUUUCCAGAAAAGGAUUGGUGCCUUCGGGAGCAUUGAAACAGGUGCUGCAUGGCUGUCGUCAGCUCCUGUCGUGAGAUGUUGGGUUAAGUCCCGUAACGAGCGCAACCCUUGUCCUUAAUUACCAGCACCUAAUGGUGGGCACUCUAAAGAGACUGCCGGGGACAAACCCGAAGAAGGGGGGGAUGACGUCAAGUCAUCAUGGCCCUUACGGCCUGGGCUACACACGUGCUACAAUGGUCGGUACAAAGGGUUGCCAAGCCGCGAGGUGGAGCUAAUCCCACAAAACCGAUCGUAGUCCGGAUCGCAGUCUGCAACUUCGACUGCGUGAAGUCGGAAUCGCUAGUAAUCGCGAAUCAGAAUGUCGCGGUGAAUACGUUCCCGGGCCUUGUACACACCGCCCGUCACACCAUGGGAGUGGGUUGCACCAGAAGUAGCUAGUCUAACCUUCGGGGGGACGGUUACCACGGUGUGAUUCAUGACUGGGGUGAAGUCGUAACAAGGUAACCAAGCUCAGU
rnacentral:rRNA from 1 species